UUAUGAGGCUUUCAGUUAACAGCUGUGCUGCUGAACUCAUCAAGAGUUAAUUACUUGAAUUUCUUGUCUCUUAAUAAAGUGUUUGAGAGCAUCAGUUAAAGUAAAGUAGUGAAGAGGUAGAGUUGGUAUACAUCCAUAUUAUGAAAAGAACUACUCAACUAAGUAAAGAAAAUCCUCAAGUGCAGUCGAAAAAGACCAUCAAAAAUGUAAUGAUAUAACUGGCACGCAUCAGGACCGCCCAAGAAAAGGAAGAGCAAGAGUUUAGAUGGUGUGUCCAAACAUUUUCAUGUUGGUUGAAUGGUUGAUUUAUCAUGAUAUUUUGAUUUAAAAAAAAAACAGCAAAAAUGAAGAUAAAUUUACAUACACUAUAUGGACUAAAGUAUUUGGACAUUAAUUGUAUUAAUUCCUGUUGGUUUAGAAUGGUAUAUCUUCUUGAUACUUUUGUCCAUAUACUGUAGAUAUCAAAAAUUAGAUUUUUCUCCAAACUAUCGCUUUAAAAUAUCUUGUUAACUUCUUUGUAAAAUUUCCCACGAAAUGCACAGUCCUGAUGACAAUCCUGCUGCUGUUGGUUGUGGCCUGAGCCCCCACGCUUUAUUGACUGAAGAAGUUUAGCUUUGCCUUCAUUUGCCAAAAUGUUCCGUUCACAUCGAACCUUUUGUUUCUUUUUUUUGUUUGUUACUUUACCUUCUGUAAAAAAAAACAAAAAAAAAACGUUUAAAAAACAUUUAAAUGCCUUUUUCCCCCGACCCAUAUCCACUUACUACUUACAGAAUCUCCGUUACCAGUAGAGCGAGCACCAGGAUGUGUUUGCAUUAACUUUACAUAUGUUACGUUUGCGGUGGUUUUAAACAGAGCGUCUACUUUAAUCUGACAAUGUCUGAUUUAGAGAGUAUUGGGCUACGUUCACACUGCUGAUGAAAACGGCACAAAUCUGAUUUUCUUAUCAAAUCUGAUGUUUUUAAGGUUUUUUGUUACCGAGUAGCAUCACAGCACUAACACUCAGAGGAAAGUGCAGUAACGCGGUUCUGAUAAAUCAGCUCACAGAUGCAGCUUUGUGCUGAUCCACAUCAUCUAGGAGUGGUUAUGGGAAAGAGCGCCUACUGUACCCACCAAGCGAGAGCGAAACAACUGUCCGGCGAACCGGCGAUCUCCUAAUCAUAGUGGCAGCGCUUUAGACUGCUGGACCGCUCCGAGCCCUUGUUGACACAAAUUGGAUAUUUAUCUGAUUUCACUUCUACUCAUAAAAUUGGUCCAAAUCGAAUCUGAACUGCAGAUUCUCAAUUAAGUGUGUUUAUCGCUAUCUGAAAAUAAAAUUCUAAUUUGGACCGUUUUUGCAACACUUGUCACACGGGGUUUGAAAGCGCUUAAAUCUAACUCCCUCAACCCAAUCCGGUGCUUAUUUUGGCUGUUCACAUUUCUAAACUCACGCUUAUGUUAUAAAGAGCAGCGCUUCACAUUAAGUUUCGGUUUCGUCUUCUCCAGCAACCGUGUGUGUUAUUCAGCCAUGCUGACUUCCUUGAUUCUUAAGUUGGAUUGAAGGAUGUGAAAUAAAAAAAAGCAUCAAUUCCACUCUGGCUACUUAGAUUGAGUCGCAUUGCCACGUUUUGGAUAUGUAUCAGAUUUCAGUACCACAUAUAAACAUGUAAAAGUGGCCCAAAUAGGAAAACUGAAGAUAUCAGAUUUAAUGCGUUUUUACGUUAUUCAAAACGGUGGGAAAUCAUUCAUUGCUUGAGAAAUCAGAUUUGGUCAAAUUUGGCUACAUUUACACAGCACACAACAGCAGGAAGUUGGCAUACUGGAAUUAAAAAUGUCAGAUUCAAUGUGUUUUGUACCGUUCACACUGCCAAAUGCCUAAAAACAACAUUUGUAGUUGGGCUACGUUUACCUGCUGUGUUUAAUGUAGCAAUAAAAAUUAAAAAAAUCUUAGUUUCAAUAUGAUUUAAGCCAUAUCUGGAUGGGAUUCUGGGGUAAUUUUCUCUUUUAUGGGGGGGGGUUUAAUCCUCUGUGAUUUUGUUCCCUUUCGGAACGACCAUGUACGUGUUUUUCUCAGACGUCCUCUGAGAAAAUUACAGGCUGAAUUAUCUACUGUUUUCCUGAACUCCGUGCUCCUCUGGUAAUUUUAGUCCCGUUCAGAUCCACAUCUCAGAGUUUCGUCUACUCGCCUUUAAUAAAAUAGCUUUGUCCACUGCCGCGCACCAUAAUUACACUUUGGGCGCUUGGGCGUUUCCACGGAGAUCCACACAACAGUGUAAAACACAACAGCGAGUGGAAAUGGAGGAGCUACUGAACUCUGUCAUGUGACUGAGAAAGCCUAAAAAAACCUCACUGGUCCUCCUGUGUUUUUCAGUUGCAGUCCAGAUGCAGGAGUUUAAUCACGGAGUAGAAUUAAAGAGAAACUCCUGACCACUAAUCAUGACCAGAUAGGGAUUUAGUCUAAACAGCCCGAACAGAAUUCACACGCAAUUCAUUGUUUUAAAUCAAGGAGUAGGAAAAAAGAGGGCAUUUUUGCUGCAACUUCACAGGAAAAUACAAAGCUUUAAAAAAAGAAAGAUUAACCCCAAGAACCAUAGAUUUUAUAUCCUGUAUAAAUCCUAAUGCAGAAAUAUAACUGUAAAUGAUUUGGUAAUGGUUUAGGUAAACGUAACUUGUGGAGAUAAAACCGAAACUUGACGUGAAGCACAGUGUCAGUUUAUGGGUGCAUACAUUUCAGACCAAUGUUAGAUAUAGGUUGCAUUAAAACAAACAAACAAGCAAAAAAAAACAUCGGAUUUGGUCAAAAAUGUAAAAAGGCCACUGUACAUGCAAUGUGAAUGCAGCCUUUAUUUACGAGCAGAAUACACUUUUAACAUCUAUAAUCUUUUAUGAUUCGCAUCUACAUAUCUUCACCACAGUUCAUCCCACCUCCACCUGCUGCUGAUUUUACAUUGAGACUGGUUUGGUUUAGUGCAGCUAACACUAGUCAAUAUAAAUAUAUAAAUAUAUCUCCGUUUGGACCAUAGCAUGAGCUAGAAAACAGUAAAAAUACAUAUUUCAUACAGAAAAAAGAGAGUGUACAUUUCAAUAUUACAACUUUUCUGUGUUUAUAAUGGAUUUACACAACAGUAAUAUGUAUGUUAUUGUGUAGUUAUGUACGUAAUUGUUUGGAUUUCACUGCAUUUCAAAUUAAAAUUUCUUCUAUCUGUGA